AAAACUUUUCGCUAAUAGAAGAGCCUAUGUAGGAUUAGGUAGUUGGUAUUUUGGGUAAAAGCCUACCAAGCCUAAGAUCCUUAGCUGUUCUGAGAGGUUGAACAGCCACACUGGGACUGAGACAAGGCCCAUGCUCCAUUUGGAGCCAGCAGUGAGGAAUUUUGGACAAUGAGCGAAAGCUUGAUCCAGCAAUACUACAUGAGUGAAGAAGGCUUUCAAGUUGUAACACUCUUUGGUUGAGGAGGAUAAUGACAGUACUCAACAAAAUAGCCCCGGCUAACUUCGUGCCAGCAGCCGCGGUAAGACGAAGGGGGCGAGCGUUAUCCGGAAUGACUGGGCGUAAAGGGUCCGUAGGCAGCAUUUUUUGUUGGAAGUUAAAUAAAAAAGCUUAACUUUUUUCCGCUUCUAAAACGUAAAUGCUUUGAGUUUGAUAGAAGAUAGCAGAAUUUCACAAGGAGGGGUGAUAUCCAGAGAUCUGUGAAGGAAUAUCAGAUGCGAAGGCGGCUAUCUAGAUCAACACUGACGUUGAGGGACGAAAGCAUGGGGAGCAAACAGGAUUAGAUACCCUGGUAGUCCAUGCCCUAAAAGAUGAGUGUUCGUGCUUAGAGAACUUUAGGCACUUAGUUAACACGUUAAACACUCCGCCUGGGGAGUACGAUCGCAAGGUUGGAACUCAAAGGAAUUGACGGGGGCCUAUACAAGUGGUGGAGCAUGUGGUUUAAUGCGAUAAUACGCGCGAAACCUUACCAGUUCUUGACAUAAAAAGGAAAAAGUUUGAAAAAGCAAUUUUAAAGAUUUUUACAGGUGCUGCAUGGCUGUCGUAAGCUCGUGUCGUGA
rnacentral:rRNA from 1 species